UGGGGAAUUUUGGACAAUGGGCGCAAGCCUGAUCCAGCAAUGCCGCGUGCAGGAUGAAGGCCUUCGGGUUGUAAACCGCUUUUGUCAGGGAAGAAACGAGUUUCUCUAAUACAGAGACUUAAUGACGGUACCUGAAGAAUAAGCACCGGCUAACUACGUGCCAGCAGCCGCGGUAAUACGUAGGGUGCAAGCGUUAAUCGGAAUUACUGGGCGUAAAGCGUGCGCAGUCGGUUAUAUAAGACAGAUGUGAAAUCCCCGGGCUCAACCUGGGACCUGCAUUUGUGACUGUAUAGCUAGAGUACGGUAGAGGGGGAUGGAAUUCCGCGUGUAGCAGUGAAAUGCGUGGAUAUGCGGAGGAACACCGAUGGCGAAGGCAAUCCCCUGGACCUGUACUGACGCUCAUGCACGAAAGCGUGGGGAGCAAACA
rnacentral:rRNA from 1 species